rnacentral:tRNA from 1 species
ACACUGCAGGUCUGUCGCCAAGCGGUAAGGCAACGGGUUUUGAUCCCGUCAUACCUAGGUUCGAAUCCUAGCAGA